rnacentral:rRNA from 1 species
ACAGUGAAGCUGCUGACGAGCGGCGGACGGCUGAGUAACGCGUGGGAACAUACCCCAAACUGAGGGAUAACUAGUCGAAAGAUUAGCUAAUACCGCAUGUGAUCUUCGGAUUAAAGCUUUCGGGCGGUUUGGGAAUGGCCUGCGUACGAUUAGAUAGUUGGUGAGGUAAAGGCUCACCAAGUCGACGAUCGUUAGAUGGUUUGAGAGGAUGAUCAUCCAGACUGGGACUGAGACACGGCCCAGACUCCUACGGGAGGCAGCAGUAGGGAAUCUUUCACAAUGGGCGAAAGCCUGAUGGAGCAACGCCGCGUGCAGGAUGAAGGCCUUCGGGUUGUAAACUGCUUUUAUAAGCGAGAAAUAUGAUGGUAACUUAUGAAUAAGGAUCGGCUAACUACGUGCCAGCAGCCGCGGUCAUACGUAGGAUCCGAGCAUUAUCCGGAGUGACUGGGUGUAAAGAGUUGCGUAGGUGGCAUAAUAAGUAGCUAGUGAAAUCUGGUGGCUCAACCAUUCAGACUAUUAGCUAAACUGUUAAGCUCGAGACCGUUAGGGGUAACUGGAAUUUCUAGUGUAGGAGUGAAAUCCGUAGAUAUUAGAAGGAACACCGAUAGCGUAGGCAGGUUACUGGGACGGUUCUGACACUAAGGCACGAAAGCGU